rnacentral:rRNA from 1 species
UACGGAGGGGGCUAGCGUUGUUCGGAAUUACUGGGCGUAAAGCGCGCGUAGGCGGACCUGCAAGUCGGGGGUGAAAGCCCGAGGCUCAACCUCGGAACUGCCUUCGAUACUGCGGGUCUCGAGUCCGGGAGAGGUGAGUGGAAUUCCUAGUGUAGAGGUGAAAUUCGUAGAUAUUAGGAAGAACACCAGUGGCGAAGGCGGCUCACUGGCCCGAUACUGACGCUGAUGCACGAAAGCGUGGGGAGCAAACAGG